GUGCUGGUUAUGAAUUUUGGUGUUGGAACUGCUUAUGAAUUUCGGAACUUGCUAAUCCCCAGACCUUUUCCAGUUAGAAGCUAUGGAGAGAACAUAGUUCAGAGGCUUUUGGAAAUUAAUGCAAUGGAGCUGAAAGUGAUCCGUGCCACCACGAGAAGGCUGACCAAAAUGAAAGAAAAAAUGGUAAUCUGGUUUAUAGUUGGGGGACUUGGCCUCGGUCAUCAAGAUCACCAAAUGGAACAAGCUAUAUAUGAGUCAUUUAAGUUUUGUGGAUUUCAUAACUUAUGUUUAUAUACUGUAAUGUUGUUUUCAUUUUGAUUCCUUAUGAAACAUGUCUGUAUGUUUUUGUAAUUCAACUUGAUUGAUGUUUUAUAAGUUUUGAAUGUCAUAG